ensembl:lncRNA
UAGCGCAGUGAUGCUCUGUUGCAGGCAGUAAUGCAUAUCCCCAUACAGAAGCCAAGAAACAUGCCAUUUGUAUUUAGCUGGGUAGGCUUAGUGACACGGAUUAAUCUUUCAGAUGGAAUUGCAACACACAGGGCUGUUAGAAGAAAACCCUCAGUGGAAAAAGAAAAAAAGAAAAGUAAAAAAGAAAGAAAAACAAAGAAAAACAAAGAAGAGCUGUUUAAAUCCAGAACAAAUAUGAAGUUGAAGGUCAGGGAUGCAUGGAAGGUGCUGAACCCGCAGCAGGUCACUUCUCUCAGCAGCUUGUGCCAGGGAAGGCAAUUUUCAGGACCAGACAUUAAUGCCGUAAAGCUUGGCAGAGGGACACCCAAACACAUGGCAAAGGAUGUUACCUCAGGAAUGGGGCUCAGGGUUGGCGCUAACUGGAGGAGCUGCCCAGGUGGGCAGGACCGCC